rnacentral:tRNA from 1 species
UGGCUCAGUUGGUAGAGCAUGGUGUUUGCAAUGCCAGGGUUGUGGGUUCGACUCCCAC